rnacentral:rRNA from 1 species
AACGAACGCUGGCGGCAGGCUUAACACAUGCAAGUCGAGCGCCCCGCAAGGGGAGCGGCAGACGGGUGAGUAACGCGUGGGAAUCUACCCAUCCCUACGGGAUAACACAGAGAAAUUUGUGCUAAUACCGUAUACGUCCUUCGGGAGAAAGAUUUAUCGGGGAUGGAUGAGCCCGCGUCGGAUUAGCUAGUUGGUGGGGUAAUGGCCUACCAAGGCGACGAUCCGUAGCUGGUCUGAGAGGAUGACCAGCCACAUUGGGACUGAGACACGGCCCAAACUCCUACGGGAGGCAGCAGUGGGGAAUAUUGGACAAUGGGCGCAAGCCUGAUCCAGCCAUGCCGCGUGAGUGAUGACGGCCUUAGGGUUGUAAAGCUCUUUCACCCACGACGAUAAUGACGGUAGUGGGAGAAGAAGCCCCGGCUAACUUCGUGCCAGCAGCCGCAGUAACAC